rnacentral:rRNA from 1 species
UACGUAGGAGGCAAGCGUUGUCCGGAAUCAUUGGGCGUAAAGCGCGUGUAGGCGGCCCGGUAAGUCCGCUGUGAAAGUCGGGGGCUCAACCCUCGAAUGCCGGUGGAUACUGUCGGGCUAGAGUGCGGGAGAGGCGAGUGGAAUUCCUGGUGUAGCGGUGAAAUGCGCAGAUAUCAGGAAGAACACCCGUGGCGAAGGCGGCUCACUGGCCCGUAACUGACGCUGAGAUGCGAAAGCGUGGGGAGCAAACAGG